AACGCACAUUGCGCCCGCUAGUAUUCUGGCGGGCAUGCCUGUUCGAGCGUCAUUUCAACCAUCAAGCCCCCGGCUUGUGUUGGGGACCUGCGGCUGCCGCAGGCCCUGAAAUCCAGUGGCGGGCUCGCCGUAGCACCGAGCGUAGUAGCAUACUUCUCGCUCCGGUAGCAGCGGUGGGCGCCUGCCGUAAAACCCCCCUUAAAAUCAAGGUUGACCUCGGAUCAGGUAGGAAUACCCGCUGAACUUAA
rnacentral:misc_RNA from 1 species